CAUGCAAGUCGAGCGGAGACAGUGAGUAGCUUGCUAUGAGCUGUUUUAGCGGCGGACGGGUGAGUAACGCGUGAGCAACCUUUCCCAGACAGGGGAAUAACACACCGAAAGGUGUACUAAUACCGCAUAAGACCACGGGAUCACAUGGUUCUGGGGUAAAAGAUUUAUCGGUUUGGGGUGGGCUCGCGUCCGAUUAGGUAGUUGGUGAGGUAACGGCCCACCAAGCCGACGAUCGGUAGCCGACCUGAGAGGGUGAUCGGCCACAUUGGGACUGAGACACGGCCCAAACUCCUACGGGAGGCAGCAGUGGGGAAUAUUGGGCAAUGGGGGGAACCCUGACCCAGCAACGCCGCGUGGAGGAAGAAGGUUUUCGGAUCGUAAACUCCUGUCCUUGGAGACGAGUAGAAGACGGUAUCCAAGGAGGAAGCCCCGGCUAACUACGUGCCAGCAGCCGCGGUAAUACGUAGGGGGCAAGCGUUGUCCGGAAUAAUUGGGCGUAAAGGGCGCGUAGGCGGCUCGGUAAGUCUGGAGUGAAAGUCCUGCUUUUAAGGUGGGAAUUGCUUUGGAUACUGUCGGGCUUGAGUGCAGGAGAGGUUAGUGGAAUUCCCAGUGUAGCGGUGAAAUGCGUAGAGAUUGGGAGGAACACCAGUGGCGAAGGCGACUAACUGGACUGUAACUGACGCUGAGGCGCGAAAGUGUGGGGAGCA
rnacentral:rRNA from 1 species